rnacentral:lncRNA from 1 species
AUUUUUAUACUGGUUCACUCAUCAAGAGCUACGUCCAGUUCACCUCACUCCAAGGUGUAAUCCACUAAAAUUUGAUACAAUCAAUUACAAACACACAGCAGUUCUUGAACCCUUCAAGAACCUCAACUAUCAAGGCUGAAAAACACUAUUCCAGCAUACCUUGCACUCCAAGAAACCCUAUCUAGAGUGACUAACGCUCAAA